AGAGUUUGAUCCUGGCUCAGGACGAACGCUGGCGGCGUGCUUAACACAUGCAAGUCGAACGGGGUGUUUAUUUCGGUAAACAUCAAGUGGCGAACGGGUGAGUAACGCGUAAGCAAUCUACCUUCAAGAUGGGGACAACACUUCGAAAGGGGUGCUAAUACCGAAUGAAUGUAAGAGUAUCGCAUGAGACACUUACUAAAGGAGGCCUCUGAAAAUGCUUCCGCUUGAAGAUGAGCUUGCGUCUGAUUAGCUAGUUGGUGAGGGUAAAGGCCCACCAAGGCGACGAUCAGUAGCCGGUCUGAGAGGAUGAACGGCCACAUUGGGACUGAGACACGGCCCAGACUCCUACGGGAGGCAGCAGUGGGGAAUCUUCCGCAAUGGGCGAAAGCCUGACGGAGCAACGCCGCGUGAACGAUGAAGGUCUUAGGAUCGUAAAGUUCUGUUGUUAGGGACGAAGGGUAAGAAUCAUAAUAAGGUUUUUAUUUGACGGUACCUAACGAGGAAGCCACGGCUAACUACGUGCCAGCAGCCGCGGUAAUACGUAGGCGGCAAGCGUUGUCCGGAAUUAUUGGGCGUAAAGGGAGCGCAGGCGGGAAACUAAGCGGAUCUUAAAAGUGCGGGGCUCAACCCCGUGAUGGGGUCCGAACUGGUUUUCUUGAGUGCAGGAGAGGAAAGCGGAAUUCCCAGUGUAGCGGUGAAAUGCGUAGAUAUUGGGAAGAACACCAGUGGCGAAGGCGGCUUUCUGGACUGUAACUGACGCUGAGGCUCGAAAGCUAGGGUAGCGAACGGGAUUAGAUACCCCGGUAGUCCUAGCCGUAAACGAUGGAUACUAGGUGUGGGAGGUAUCGACUCCUUCCGUGCCGGAGUUAACGCAAUAAGUAUCCCGCCUGGGGAGUACGGCCGCAAGGUUGAAACUCAAAUGAAU
rnacentral:rRNA from 1 species